rnacentral:rRNA from 1 species
AUUGAACGCUGGCGGCAGGCCUAACACAUGCAAGUCGAACGAGUGGCGGACGGGUGAGUAAUGUCUGGGAAACUGCCCGAUGGAGGGGGCUAACUACUGGAAAAGGUAGCUAAUACCGCCAACCAUCAUAUGUGCCCAGAUGGGUUUAGCUGGUGGGUGGGGUAACGGCUCACCUAGGCGACGAUGCCUAGCUGGGCUGAGAGGAUGACCAGCCACACUGGAACUGAGACACGGUCCAGACUCCUACGGGAGGCAGCAGUGGGGAAUAUUGCACAAUGGGCGCAAGCCUGAUGCAGCCAUGCCGCGUGUGUGAAGAAGGCCUUCGGGUUGUAAAGCACUUUCAGCGGGGAGGCGUUACCCGCAGAAGAAGCAACGGCUAACUCCGUGCCAGCAGCCGCGGUAAUUC